UCCGAAUUGGUGUAGUGGCUAACAUUUGACGCUCUCAAGAUUCAAUCUACAGAUCCGUCAAGCCCGGGGUUCGAUUCCCCGAUUCGGAG